rnacentral:rRNA from 1 species
GCACUUUCAGUCGUGAGGAAGGUAGUAGUAGUUAAUAGCUGCAUUAUUUGACGUUAGCGACAGAAGAAGCACCGGCUAACUCCGUGCCAGCAGCCGCGGUAAUACGGAGGGUGCGAGCGUUAAUCGGAAUUACUGGGCGUAAAGACGCAUGCAGGUGGUUUGGUUUAAGUUCAGAUGUGAAAGACCCGGGGCGUCAACCUCGGAAUAGCAUUUGUAAACUAGGCAGACUAGAGUACUGUAGAGGGGGGUAGGAAGUUUCAGGUGUAGCGGUGAAAUAGCGUAGAGAUCUGAAGGAAUACCGGUGGCGAAGGCGGCCCCCUCGGACAGAUACUGACACUCAGAUGCGAAAGCGUGGGGAGCAAACAGGAUUAGAUACCCCUGGUAG